rnacentral:rRNA from 12 species
UUGGUGGAUUAGUGGCGAACGGGUGAGUAACACGUGAGUAACCUGCCCUGGACUCUGGGAUAAGCAUUCGAAAGGGUGUCUAAUACUGGAUAUGACCUGUGACCGCAUGGUUGUGGGUGUAAAGGUUUUCUGGUCUGGGAUGGGCUCGCGGCCUAUCAGCUUGUUGGUGGGGUGAUGGCCUACCAAGGCGUCGACGGGUAGCCGGCCUGAGAGGGCGACCGGCCACACUGGGACUGAGACACGGCCCA